rnacentral:rRNA from 1 species
GUGGGGAAUAUUGGACAAUGGGCGAAAGCCUGAUCCAGCCAUGCCGCGUGUGUGAAGAAGGUCUUCGGAUUGUAAAGCACUUUAAGUUGGGAGGAAGGGCAGUAAGUUAAUACCUUGCUGUUUUGACGUUACCGACAGAAUAAGCACCGGCUAACUUCGUGCCAGCAGCCGCGGUAAUACGAAGGGUGCAAGCGUUAAUCGGAAUUACUGGGCGUAAAGCGCGCGUAGGUGGUUUUGUAAGUUGGAGGUGAAAUCCCCGGGCUCAACCUGGGAACUGCCUCCAAAACUGCAUGACUAGAGUACGGUAGAGGGUAGUGGAAUUUCCUGUGUAGCGGUGAAAUGCGUAGAUAUAGGAAGGAACACCAGUGGCGAAGGCGACUACCUGGACUGAUACUGACACUGAGGUGCGAUAGCGUGGGGAGCAAACAGGAUUAGAUACCCUUGUAGUCC